rnacentral:rRNA from 1 species
GUAGGUGGCAAGCGUUGUCCGGAAUUAUUGGGCGUAAAGCGCGCGCAGGCGGUUCUUUAAGUCUGAUGUGAAAGCCCACGGCUCAACCGUGGAGGGUCAUUGGAAACUGGAGAACUUGAGUACAGAAGAGGAAAGCGGAAUUCCACGUGUAGCGGUGAAAUGCGUAGAGAUGUGGAGGAACACCAGUGGCGAAGGCGGCUUUUCCGGUCUGUAACUGACGCUGAGGCGCGAAAGCGUGGGGAGCAAACAGGGAUUAGAUACCCUGGUAGUCCACGCCGUAAACGAUGAGUGCUAAGUGUUAGGGGGUUUCCCGCCCCUUAGUGCUGCAGCUAACGCAUUAAACACUCCGCCUGGGGAGUACGGCCGCAAGGCUG